CCUACGGGCGGCUGCAGUGGGGAAUAUUGCACAAUGGGCGCAAGCCUGAUGCAGCCAUGCCGCGUGUGUGAAGAAGGCCUUCGGGUUGUAAAGCACUUUCAGCGGGGAGGAAGGCGGUGAGGUUAAUAACCUCAUCGAUUGACGUUACCCGCAGAAGAAGCACCGGCCAACUCCGUGCCAGCAGCCGCGGUAAUACGGAGGGUGCAAGCGUUAAUCGGAAUUACUGGGCGUAAAGCGCACGCAGGCGGUCUGUCAAGUCGGAUGUGAAAUCCCCGGGCUCAACCUGGGAACUGCAUUCGAAACUGGCAGGCUAGAGUCUUGUAGAGGGGGGUAGAAUUCCAGGUGUAGCGGUGAAAUGCGUAGAGGUCUGGAGGAAUACCGGUGGCGAAGGCGGUCCCCUGGACAAAGACUGACGCUCAGGUGCGAAAGCGUGGGGAGCAAACAGGAUUAGAUACCCCGGUAGUC
rnacentral:rRNA from 1 species